GAUGACGCAUGGCGGCGUGCCUAAUACAUGCAAGUCGAGCGAAUGGAUUAAGAGCUUGCUCUUAUGAAGUUAGCGGCGGACGGGUGAGUAACACGUGGGUAACCUGCCCAUAAGACUGGGAUAACUCCGGGAAACCGGGGCUAAUACCGGAUAACAUUUUGAACCGCAUGGUUCGAAAUUGAAAGGCGGCUUCGGCUGUCACUUAUGGAUGGACCCGCGUCGCAUUAGCUAGUUGGUGAGGUAACGGCUCACCAAGGCAACGAUGCGUAGCCGACCUGAGAGGGUGAUCGGCCACACUGGGACUGAGACACGGCCCANACUCCUACGGGAGGCAGCAGUANGGAAUCUUCCNCAAUGNACGANAG
rnacentral:rRNA from 1 species